UACGUAGGGUGCAAGCGUUGUCCGGAAUUAUUGGGCGUAAAGAGCUCGUAGGCGGUUUGUCGCGUCGAAUGUGAAAACCCGGGGCUCAACCCCGGGCCUGCAUUCGAUACGGGCAGACUAGAGUUCGGUAGGGGAGUCUGGAAUUCCUGGUGUAGCGGUGAAAUGCGCAGAUAUCAGGAGGAACACCGGUGGCGAAGGCGGGUCUCUGGGCCGAUACUGACGCUGAGGAGCGAAAGCGUGGGGAGCGAACAG
rnacentral:rRNA from 1 species